rnacentral:rRNA from 1 species
UGGGGAAUAUUGCACAAUGGGCGCAAGCCUGAUGCAGCCAUGCCGCGUGUGUGAAGAAGGCCUUCGGGUUGUAAAGCACUUUCAGCGAGGAGGAAGGUGGUGAGCUUAAUACGCUCAUCAAUUGACGUUACUCGCAGAAGAAGCACCGGCUAACUCCGUGCCAGCAGCCGCGGUAAUACGGAGGGUGCAAGCGUUAAUCGGAAUUACUGGGCGUAAAGCGCACGCAGGCGGUUUGUUAAGUCAGAUGUGAAAUCCCCGGGCUCAACCUGGGAACUGCAUUUGAAGCUGGCAAGCUAGAGUCUCGUAGAGGGGGGUAGAAUUCCAGGUGUAGCGGUGAAAUGCGUAGAGAUCUGGAGGAAUACCGGUGGCGAAGGCGGCCCCCUGGACGAAGACUGACGCUCAGGUGCGAAAGCGUGGGGCAGCAAACAGGAUUAGAUACCCUGGUAGUCCACGCUGUAAACGAUGUCGAUUUUGGAGGUUGUGCCCUUGAGGCGUGGNUUCCGGAGCUAACGCGUUAAAUCGACCGCCUGGGGAGUACGGCCGCAAGGUUAAAACUCAAAUGAAUUGAC